UCGAGCAUCUGACAUCACUGCAUGCUGAAAUCUGGCAUCGCUGCAAAAUUAGUCCGGAUUCGCACCAGGGGCAAAGUCUGUAAUGUGAUUUAGCCCGGACUCAAUCCUAGGGGCAAAGUCAUAAUCAAGGCACGGAAAUGCUGUGCAAAAUUGUGCGUUGGAUAUGUAACAAGAGAUUGCUUAGUACGUGGUGUGCAGCGCCAAAGAUGUAUUCCGUGUGCGAAAAAGUACAAAAAUAUACUUAAAAAGUCGAAGAGGCCAACACCACUGCAAACAUUGUCAAAGAGCGGUCAAUCCCUCCGUUCGAGAUGUAAAAACAUUUCUCGGAAAAAUUUUAGACUUCAGAACAAAGUAGACUUUCCAAACAUUCAUUAUUAAAUAUUCUGACCUGAAAGUGUUAUCUCAAUAAUUUGUAUUGCGUUAUAUUUUUUUUUGUAACGCAGGUUGUACGUCUAAAAAAGGCAGUACAGUGUAUAAAGGAGAAAUGUGCUCAAGCAAAUACACAGGCAGUGAAAAAUGCUAUAUCAAAACUACCCAUUAAUCAGCAAUUGUUUGUGCAAGCAUGUCUUACAGCUUCUAAAGCAAAAAAUAAAGGCAUGAGAUGCACCACACAGUGGGUGUAUGAAUGCUUGUUAUUGCGGAUCAAAAGCA